rnacentral:rRNA from 1 species
GACGAACGCUGGCGGCGUGCUUAACACAUGCAAGUCGAACGGAAAGGCCCUGCUUUUGUGGGGCGCUCGAGUGGCGAACGGGUGAGUAACACGUGAGUAACCUGCCCUUGACUUUGGUAUAACUUCAGGAAACUGGGGCUAAUACCGGAUAUGAGCUCCUGCUGCAUGGUGGGGGUUGGAAAGUUUCGGCGGUUGGGGAUGGACUCGCGGCUUAUCAGCUUGUUGGUGGGGUAGUGGCUUACCAAGGCUUUGACGGGUAGCCGGCCUGAGAGGGUGACCGGCCACAUUGGGACUGAGAUACGGCCCAGACUCCUACGGGAGGCAGCAGUGGGGAAUAUUGAACAAUGGGCGGAAGCCUGAUGCAGCAACGCCGCGUGCGGGAUGACGGCCUUAGGGUUGUAAACCGCUUUCGCCUGUGACGAAGCGUGAGUGACGGUAAUGGGUAAAGAAGCACCGGCUAACUACGUG